AACGAACGCUGGCGGCAGGCUUAACACAUGCAAGUCGAGCGCCCCGCAAGGGGAGCGGCAGACGGGUGAGUAACGCGUGGGAAUCUACCCAUCUCUACGGAAUAACGCAUGGAAACGUGUGCUAAUACCGUAUACGUCCUUCGGGAGAAAGAUUUAUCGGAGAUGGAUGAGCCCGCGUUGGAUGAGCUAGUUGGUGGGGUAAAGGCCUACCAAGGCGACGAUCCAUAGCUGGUCUGAGAGGAUGAUCAGCCACACUGGGACUGAGACACGGCCCAGACUCCGACGGGAGGCAGCAGUGGGGAAUAUUGGACAAUGGGCGCAAGCCUGAUCCAGCCAUGCCGCGUGAGUGAUGAAGGCCCUAGGGUUGUAAAGCUCUUUCACCGGUGAAGAUAAUGACGGUAACCGGAGAAGAAGCCCCGGCUAACUUCGUGCCAGCAGCCGCGGUAAGAC
rnacentral:rRNA from 1 species